UAGGGAAUCUUCGGCAAUGGGGGGAACCCUGACCGAGCAACGCCGCGUGCGUGAAGAAGGUUUUCGGAUCGUAAAGCUCUGUUGUUAAGGAAGAACGAGUGUGAGAAUGGAAAGUUCAUGCUGUGACGGUACUUAACCAGAAAGGGACGGCUAACUACGUGCCAGCAGCCGCGGUAAUACGUAGGUCCCGAGCGUUGUCCGGAUUUAUUGGGCGUAAAGCGAGCGCAGGCGGUUAGAAAAGUCUGAAGUGAAAGGCAGUGGCUCAACCAUUGUAGGCUAUGGAAACUGGUUAACUUGAGUGCAGAAGGGGAGAGUGGAAUUCCAUGUGUAGCGGUGAAAUGCGUAGAUAUAUGGAGGAACACCGGUGGCGAAAGCGGCUCUCUGGGCUGUAACUGACGCUGAGGCUCGAAAGCGUGGGGAGCGAACAGG
rnacentral:rRNA from 1 species